UACGUAGGUGGCAAGCGUUGUCCGGAAUUAUUGGGCGUAAAGCGCGCGCAGGUGGUUCUUUAAGUCUGAUGUGAAAUCUCGCGGCUCAACCGCGAGCGGUCAUUGGAAACUGGGGAACUUGAGUGCAGAAGAGGAAAGUGGAAUUCAUGGUGUAGCAGUGAAAUGCGUAGAGAUCAUGAGGAAGACCAGUGGCGAAGGCGGGUCUCUGGACAGUUCCUGACACUGAGACACGAAGGCCAGGGGAGCAAACGGG
rnacentral:rRNA from 1 species